rnacentral:lncRNA from 1 species
AGACGACCCACUAGGAAGCUGACUGAUACACUAAAUAAAUUAGUUAAACAUAAAGAUUUCCCUAAUGUAUUUAAGCAUAGAAAGGUGCAACCAAAUACAUGCCCAAGGAUCUUCACAUACAUGAAGACACACAAAAGUCCGCUUGAAGCAAGACCGAUCGUAGAGAAGCGACAAUUGCCUACUUACAACUUAGAAGUUAGAAUUGCCAACUGGGCCAAUAAGAUUCUCCGAUCCUACCAGUACACAGUUAGCAGCACACUUGAAAUGAUAUCAAAACUCCGUGCCGAGACGCCGGAAGAACAUGAAUUGCUCGCAACUUAUGAUUUCAAAAGCUUAUUUCCAUCUCUGAAGCUAGAACCUGUGUGCCUGGCCUUCUACAGAUUCCUCCUCAGCAAUGUUGAAAGUUCUGAAUCA